rnacentral:rRNA from 1 species
GAUUAACGCUGGCGGCGUGCAUAACACAUGCAAGUCGAACGAUGAAACUUAAAUGAUUUCUUCGGAAUGAACUUAAGUGGAUUAGUGGCGGACGGGUGAGUAACGCGUGAGUAACCUGCCUUACACAAGGGGAUAGCCGUUGGAAACGACGAAUAAUACCCUAUGAAACUAUCACUUCGCAUGAAGCGAUAGUCAAAGUGUUAGCGGUGUAAGAUGGACUUGCGUCUGAUUAGCUAGUUGGUGAGAAAAAAGCCCACCAAGGCAACGAUCAGUAGCCGGCUUGAGAGAGUGUACGGCCACAUUGGGACUGAGACACGGCCCAGACUCCUACGGGAGGCAGCAGUGGGGAAUUUUGCACAAUGGGGGAAACACUGAUGCAGCGACGCCGCGUGAUUUAGAAGGCCUUCGGGUUGUAAAAAUCUUUUGUAUAGGAAGAAAAUGACAGUACUAUACGAAUAAGGUCCGGCUAAUUACGUG